GGCGGCGCUCCAGGGCCGCGGGGACGUGUGCGGCGCCCGGCGCGGCGGCGGGGCGCAGGAGGGCUGCGGUCUGUGCCGGCAGCCGCCGUGGCACCGAGCCCGGCGUAGGUGUGCAGGCGGGGCGGCUUUCCCUGCGCGGUGCAUGGGGUAUGCACAUGGCUCGAGCGCCACAAUAAGAGUGUAGCUUUGGCAGUAUGAGAAAAUGGACGAGGAUUUGGAAAAGGCCUCGAGGUGUAUCUGUGUUGGAUACAGAAUUGAGUUACUUCUGUCAGAUGUAUUCUCCUGGGCAUUGUUUUCACUCCAGUUGCUUUUGUUGAAGCAAUAUUCAAUUCAACACAGGAAGGGUCUGAUCAGCCCCCUUGACAAACAGGCAAGCAGCUACUGAAGGAACAGGGACUUCCUGGGCCAUUUUGAAGUCUGUUUAUCGGCACCGUGGUGCUUGCAACACUGCUCAGCUUGUUUUCAUUUGAAAGGUGUUUUUGCUACAUUAGCAGCCAGGAGAGUAAUGGAAAUAGAAUAAGAUCCAUGCACCUGUCUAACAGGAACUCUAUCUGCUUCCUGAUGCUGUUUAUCCAAAACCCCACCUGCUGUCAAAAGGGCAGUGCUGGCCAUGUGAAGCAUCUUCAGCCAUGAAGCAGCUGUAUCUAUUAGGCUUAAUUUCUGCAAUGAAUUACCAAGUGUCUUUUUUGUUCGGGAGAUCCUCAAGAACUGUGGAAAAAUAGAAGAGUGUCAGUAAUAGAUUUAAACAUAAGCUGCCAGCAAACUGGAUGAAUGGUUUGCCUGUCACAUUCACUGAGCGUCCUGAAGUAUCCCUGACAAGGUAGCAGAGAGUGAGACCCUGGACAAGGCAACCAAAAUCCACCGAGUUAAGAGAGUCAUGAUCAGCCAGUGAAGGAACUUCUACCUUUCUGCUGGAUAUGGAGAAGGCACAAUCAGUGGGUCGUUUAACAUGGCAAGAAACUGAAGUCAGGUUGGCAAUAGCACUAAUGAGGAUCAAGAGAAUCAAUUGCCUGAAUUUUCAGCAAUCCAGUCCUCCUUUGGAAUUUCCUCAGAUUAUUUUGGUCAGUGAUUGAUCUUCAGGAGACUACACAAAUGUUUGUGCUGGGAGGACACUGUGAGAAGCAGCAUUGGAGGUGGAGUAGGAAUGGCUUCAGCUGGAAAAUGCAUCACUGCAGCCAAAGCCUCAGUCCCAGGAAAGUGCUGUGAAAGCAGAGGCAAAGCUAAUCAAGUGACCAGACAUGGUGUUGGCAGUAGAUCUACUUGGAGCAGGGUAUUGGACUAGGCACUGCUCUAUUACUUUAGCUGUAGGUGUUGGAAGACAAAAUUCUGCUCAGCUUCCAGGCAACCAAAUCUCCAUCCUGCAAUGUGCAGAGAAGCUGCUGAAAUGCUGGGACAGAGACACUGGGGGAAACACUAAGAAAUUCCUGACUCCCUGUAGGGCACAAAGUGUGAACAUAAAGAAGAGGGAGGAGAAAGAUGGAAAGGGUCAUCACUUGAGGUUGUAAGCUCCUCUUGCUGAGGAAAAGAAGGCGGCCUGCUCCCUCUAUAGGCUUCCCUGGUUGUUGCUUUCACGAACCAGCCAUCCAGGGGAUCAGAGCUGCAUACUUUUGAAGACUGUCAAAAACGCUGUAGUGAGACGUAUUUUGCAUUUCUUUUAAAUUUAGAGAUUUUUUUUUGGUGUGUAAAUGUGUGUGAAUAUGCAUUUGUGUGUUUAUGCACGUGCAUGUGAGUACAUAUGCCCACACAUGUUCUCUAACAUCUAUGUAGGGAACGACUUUUCCUGCCAGUCACAUGGAGCAGUUUUACAGUUUAAUUUUAGUCUUUUUUUUAGAACUAGUACAUGAUUAUUUUGUGUGAACUUGAUGUUUGUUAAUGGUUUAUGACAACAAAUUCCUGACUGCAUCCUGCCCUUGUUAAUGGAAGAGACACCACCUGAGGCAGCAGCUCCAUGAACUCAGGCAUGCUUCCUCCCCGGUGUCCUCCACCCCUACUGCUUUUCUCCCCUCUCUGUUCCAGGACUCUGCCUCCUCAGAUGCACCAGCACUGCAAUUUCUGGCAUCAUCGUGGUAAGAAAAGCAACCUGUAUCAAGAACAACUCUGUAAAUAAAAAGCCGAUUUGUAAUUUGGAUCAGCUCAGUGACCUGAUUUACAGCACAAACCCAAAAACCCUUGCAGAGAAGCAUGAGGGUGAAGAAGCAGCCAGAGGCAAGGCAGGGAUGGGAGACAGAGGUUCCCAAGCUGUCCUUGCAGCUGAAGUCCCCCUUUUGUAUAACUACAGCUGCCAGUGUACCUUUGCUCUUGCAGAGAUAUCAAAGGGAAUUCCCCUGCACUGCCUGAAGUAACACUUUAGGGAAAAAAUGACACAUUAGUGAGUUAUAUAUUAACCAUUAUAGAAAGUGGCAGUGUGACAAGGCAGUGAGUUACUGAUAUAAAAGUAGCAACAUUUCCAUUAUGCAGAGCAUGGGUAAUAGCUCCUAGAAAAAAAAGGCCCAGCUUUUUCCACUAAGUUGUACUGUUUUCAAUUCUUCCAUACUUUCUGAAAUGUGAAUAUAUUAUUCAGAUGUUUUCAAUGCCAAAUAAAUGCCCCUGGGUGUUUCUUGUGGGUAGCUGAGGGGAAAAGGCAGGAAAUAUUUUAGUUAAAAUGAUGCAGCUAUUUCCAAGGAAGUGUCAGAAGAGCAGCACACAAGAUUUCAAGAAUUACCAAAAAAAAAAAAAAAAAAAAAAAAAAAAAAAAAAAAAAAAAAAAAAUUAUCAUAGCAGUCAUUCAGCACUGUGCUCAGUUUUCCUUCCCAAGGUCUGACCUUGCUCUAUGUUCAGCAUUAUCAGAGAUCUGCUGCAAUGAAGUUUAGGUUCUUAUGUCUCUUAGGACACAAAUUAAUUGCUUUAACUUAAAUGUAAAAGCAGAACCUUGCCAGAGAUGACAAAUGGGAGUAUUAUAUAUCAACAGUUAAAUGACUAAUGUUUUAUUUGUCUUUGAAGUUUCUGGUGAAAGCUGAAGCAUAAUGGUGAAAGAAAAAAUAAUUUAAGUUACCUAACACCUCACAUAUGGAAUUGAUAAUGUUCUGGUUUUAUAUAGAAUACAUUGCUCUUCAGUGGUUAUAUACAUAUCUAUGUAAUGAAGAUGAUUCCAUUUGUUGUCCAAUAUGUGUUGUGCAUUUAUUUAGGAGAUUCAGGAGAUUUAAACUUAUUGACUGAAGAUGAGAUUUUUUUCUAAUAGAUGUUGCUUCUUUCAGUCAAUGUAUUCCACUACUUAGUGAAAAGAACCCUGUCCAUGUUUCAAGUCAAUUGUUUGGUUUUCAAGAGACAUUUUUGUGACCUUCAAAACCACAAAAAAUGAUCCUUGCUUUAAACUAAAAUACCAUCUUUUUGAAUUGAAAAAAAAUCCAAACCAACUCCUUUUUUUUCUUUUCCCAAAGCCCUUCUUAUUUCAGUAAUAAUAUAUUUCCUAAAGUUGUAUGUUUGGAAUUGAAUUGCAUGGAAUUGAUGUAGCCAAGGCUUUAAGCACUCUUACAUAAUGAAUAAUAUAACCAAAAUCCCUGAGGUCUUUUUAUCAGGAACUCAGACAGGCACUUAGAGAGACCCUUUUUCCACUCCCAAGACUAUGGAAAGUAUACUCUGCGCCUGACAAGGUGAAAUAAAAAGGGAUUCAGAUAACAAAAUGAGAUGAUAAUAAAUACUAAUGCAUACAGGAGAGUUGAGGGUAGGCCAUGUUCAGAGCAGGAUAUUGCUCAAGUUCGGGAAGGGAAGUAUUGAUAGGGAUUUCUUCUCCACCCCUUAGACCUGCUAAUCUCUUCAUGUGGGUCAGGGUUGCCCUGGCAUGUGGAGGCUGCAUCUCCUUUCAUCCCAUCCUGACCUCUUGAUGAAAAAAGAGGUAUGAGUAAGGGAGAUGAAUGAUUUUGCUUCAAUAACUGGUGCUGACUGCCAAGGAGGCAACCUGUGACAGAGAAGAAGAGCAGUGAAAGGCAAAAAAGGGUAGCCGGGAUUAGGUCAAAAGAAAGGCUAAGCAAAACCAGAGGAAAAAAUAUUUAGACAAAGACUUAGCCCAGGGAUGAAUGAAGCAGAGUUUUGAUGGGAUUGAUAAAAUCCAGGAUUCAAGUGUACUUAGGAAUAGUGUAAUUGUUGUUUGGAUGCAAGGACACUCUAGGUAUACUAGCACUGCAGAUACUGAUCAUCUCUAAGCUGGUGCCAGAGGUCUGUCAUACACACCAAUUUGGAAUUGCCGCCAGUUUUCUGAGUACAGUGUGUCCAGAUGAUUUUUACAAGUCUGCACUAAGAAGCAUGCAAGUUAUGCUUAUAUCUGAUAUUCUGACUCCAAGAAAAGGGCAAAGAAAUGAAGGUCUUUUAUGUGACAAUUUUGAUCAGUCUCAUCAGGAAAAAAAAAGGUUUUUUACUUACCUGUAAAUUAUACAUCUGUGGUGAUUAAAAUAAAACAACAUCAAUUUCCACUUGUUGGAAAAGUUCGCAUACAGGCUUUGGCAACAUCAUUUCUCCUCACAGGAAAAAGACGGUAAGGCAACCCAGCAUUACCUUUCAGAUGGUUAUGCCAUCACACUACUGUGUUGCACCACCAGGGUGUUGCAAAGAAUGCCUUACAACGUGGAGCUACGCAAACCUGACAAGGCUUGGGAGCAAUGUAUUCCUUACUGUAUGCAUGACCUCAUCUUCAAAGGAAGAUUAGCAUUAGCAAAAUUAAGAGAAUGGAAAGGGAGGAGUUGAUUUAAAAUUACUUUCAGCAACAAUAGGGUUCAAUUAAAAAAAAUCCAUUAUUGUCAUCGUCCUCUUUGCCAGUUCUACAUUCAAGUGUUGUUUUUUAUUUCAGCAGAGGCAAUUGCCACAAAAAUCAAGAUGACCAAAUUUCUCAUGUGUGUACCAAAGCAAGGCCACAAAGUGGUAUUCAGAGCAGGUGCUAUGGCUGUUUGGGCUGCUCAGGGGGGCCAUGAAGAUCAUGAGAUCAUGCUUUGGGCUGGGGGCAGGCACCUGUGACUGCAGGGCAGAGGAGGGAGCCGCCAGUAGCUGCCAGCAGCUCUGGUGUCAGACUUAUGCAAAGCAUGACUGAAACAAUGCCACUUCUGAAUACAAAAUUCCCCUGUUUCCUUCUUGCUUUAGUGAGAAGAGCUCUGCAGAUGUGGAGACAGGGACAAAAGCAGCUAGUAUUUCCUCUCUUUCUACAUGCUAGUCAGCCUUCUUCAUGGGGCACUGGCUCAUCCCUCUGGCUUCUGAACUGAGAAAAGAAGAUGCUCCUCUUCCAAGUAACUAAUGAAUCAUCCCUUUUAGUACAUAGCAUGCAUGACUGCAUUGUUAAAAGCAGUCUUAAUCACUCACUGAGAAAAAAUGUUAUUGAUCAUUUCUCCCUUUUAGUUGUUAAGUGGAAGCCUUGGGAGUUGUGACUCACAGCCUGUGUACUGUUGCAAGCCCAGAAAGACUUUAGUAGAUUUUUAGAUAAUUGUAGAAGCCCUCUGCAUCUUAUUCCUCACAUCUUCCUAGUAUAGCUAUAAUUUGGGAAAGUGGUAGAUUUGUUUUAUAUUAUUGUAGAAAUCAGUGUUUUGCAGAUGGAUUUGGCCUGAACUUUACAUGAAAAUUCAAUGAAGACAAGGAUUUGUAGUAGGCAACUGACUUGCAGCAAAGGAUGGGGCAAAAUAGCUUCUGGACUGGAGGAAGCCCACCCCCCAUUUUGCCUUUAGCUCUGUGGUGAUGUUGGACAUGCCAUGCAUACAGUAGUUCAGCCUGGUUUAUGAACAUAGGAUUAUGUCAGAACAGUGGAAUAAGGAAAUGAUAAGUAUUAAGAGUAAAUCUGAAGGUUCUUGACAGCUUCCAGGAAAGAGAAUGAAUGGGUCUGAGGUAAGAAAUAAAUUCUCUUGUUUACUUGGAAUUGCCAAAGGCAGAGAAAAGUGAAUAGGUAAAAUGCUUUCAAUGUGAUGUGGGAAAAAAUGUAUCUGUAACUAUUUCAAAUGUAGACAGAUAUACUGAUUGACAUAGUUUUGUAUUAACUGCAUAAAAAAUACCAGGGUGAGAAAUUAUUAUUAAUGCCAAAUGGUAAAGUUUUCAACUGGUGCAGGAUGCCAUAGUAAAGACAGUCUAUACCCUCUUAAAUCAAUCCUUCUGUGAUUGUAUGUUUAUUAUAUAAUAUGGCUGUAUUCUAUUAUUACAUCCAGCUUAUUUAUUUGAAUCAGGCACUUGUUGUUUCCUUCACAAAAGCAAAAGCAGCUACAGGGCCUCCAUGGAGGAUGAAGAGGAGUAAGACAUGUAGGGACAGUUCUGGUAGUGAGUGAUUGAAGCAUGUUUGUUAUCAACUUUUUUUUUCUAUUAUUUCCCCUAAAUAACCUUUCUCAUUCAUUCUCAUUCAAGCAGAGAGCUUCUCACGUGCCCCUCCAUGACACUACAUGGCACAAUGCUGCUCAGCAGGUCCUCUGCCUUCCCACCACAGCCUUCCUUAGCUUCUGGAAAAUGGAACCAACCUCUGCUGUGAAGAGACACUCAGGAGGCAGGGGUAAAAGAGGCUUUCAACUUUAUGUGGAAUAAUUUCUUAGCUGAAGCAUUUGGCAAAGAGUGCUCUGCAUGACUCAGCAGCAGAUCUUCUCCAUCUCAGAUUUUGGUUAUAUUAAUAUGAGGUUUAUUUUUUACAUGAACUUAUACAUAUUUAUGACUUAAGCUCCCUUGCAUGCUGCUGGGCUGUCUCUAGUUCCAGAGCCUGUCUCUCUGGUUACUCCAGCAAAGCUACAUGGCAAAUGCUACACAGGGAUUCAGUAUUGAGGUGAAUGGAAAAGGAAUCAGUGACUGGAGCAAUUUUUGUUUUUUGUUGAUAACAGAGAUAAUUCUGUUAUUCUGUCCUUAAUUGGGGUUUCUUAGGGUAAACUGUGGAAAUGUUCCAACAUUCAGAUUCUGUAAUACUAGAAUGAAGUCAUGACUUUGAGCUCUUGGAUUUGGUAUUAAUGCCAGCCAUGCAACCUUUAUUAGUACACACACUCAUUACUCAUGCAAGUAAUUGUAGGGACUUGAAAGAGACUCUCUGUAGCACAGGAACCUGCCUCGAGUCCCCAGCCCUUUGUCAGAGACAUCACCACAGAGUCAGCCAUGUUCUAAUGCAGCUGAGCAAACACACUCUCUCUAAUACAUGCAGGUGGAAGAACUGGUGCUCUGGCCAGCCUCUUCAGUACCAUGAGUGAAGAAUUAGAGAGCGGUUAUUUUUUCCUGUAGUGAGAAGGGAAUGGGUCAGGAACCAUUGGUGAUUAGUUCAAGCACAGACUAAAACUACCCUAUGGUUUUUGCCUAGGUCCUUAGAGAAGCAGAAGAGGCUUCUUGUCCCUUUCAAUUUCCUUUCCCUCUGCUCCUCCCUGGCACACCUUUUGAACCUAUGGAGCAAUAAACCUCUGAACAGAAACAGGCGUAGAUGUCUCAAAGGUGGUUAGAUUUCCUGGGCUUCUGACAAAAUCAAUGACUGGGUAGAGGUGAAAGAUCCAUGUUUGUGCUACUGGAAAGAUCAGCAACUUAAGCUCCUGUGCAGCUCUGAAGUGACCACAGCACAUUCUGUGUGGUGGGAUUUUGAGUGGCCUUGGAGAGACAGAAGAUGAAAUUUCUGUAAAGAUAAAGCUGUGGGAGAUGUUUUUCAUGGGACAAUAAACUUAAUGUCUUUCACUGCUCAUAAAUCAUUUGGUUAUCACCACCUAACUGGUUGCCAAUAUAUUUACUAAUUUACUAAAUAUUAUUAGUAAUAUUCGAUUUUUGUAUAAAGCUUUUAAUCACAAAAAUCCAAUAUCUUUUCACCAUAGAGAGAUAUCAGUAUUUCCUUUUUUUAUAGCUGGAGACUGCUACACAGAAGACAAUUUUGAGCUGACUACAAACUUAUAUAAAGUUCCCCAUUCUAAGGUUAGUGCCCAAGAAACUGAUUAUUCUGAAUUUGCUAACAACUGUUUAAAACCAGCCAAAAUAUUUUUCCAGGUUAAACACAUUUAUUUCUGCUACUAAAGCAGAGAGGGAAACAAAAAGCCAGUAACAAAAUACUGAGAGUUCAGUCUCAACUGUCAAACUCUUUUGAAGGCAAGAUAUAUGCUAUAAUUUUAAUACUUAGCUAUUUUCUAUUUUAAAGUAUAUUCUAUGUAAAUAAUAAGAUCAGUAACAAACACAGAUUUUCAUAGUUUGAGAAGUCUGAAGAUCCUUUUAGCUGUUCUUAAUAUCUUAGUUCUCCUAUGGCUGCUGGGAAGUAAAUGUACCCUAUUUAUGCAGGUGGCAGGCAGAGAGCACCUGGCAGCUGCCAGCUUUAGCACUUGUCCAGCAAGGUCUGUAUGCCCCCAUUAUAUAGCAAUUGUCCAUAUGUGCUGUUAUAUAGCCCUGCCUUCAUCUGAAAAUACAUUUUUUCCCAAAUUUGCACUUCAUAAAUCUUCCAAAUUUUGUCAUACACCUUUCAUAGAGUCAUUGAGGUUUGUAAAGACCUCCAAGGUCACUAAGUCCAACCUCUGACCAAAUAUCACCAUGUAAACUAAACCAUAUCCUUUAAACAAAUUGUGUUCAACUGAGUUUCAUAGAGCUCAACUUGAAAGGAGAGAGCUUCAGAAAAAGACAUGGGUAAAUAUGAAAGCUACUUACUGAAAGUAUAUGAAACAGCACACAGUAACAGUCAAAACUGUACAGUUAGAGAGCUAGGAAAAAGAAAACCAACCAGAGGCUGAUACCUUUUAUAAAUAGGAUACUUAAAACCAACAUCUUGAAAAAGUGGGAUACUUUUCCAGUGCCGCACAUUGUGAACCAAAGGAGCUUGUGUCCAAGCAAUUUUGAGGUCAGGAAUUUUACAUGACUGAAAACAGUCAUCUGUAUAAACACUGAAAACAUGCAGGACAAUAAAUAGCCCAGAAACUUGUAGGCCAUAAGUGUGUGAAAUACGAAGUUAUGUGUCGUGUCAGGGAAAUGAAGAAAAUCUGUGUAAUCAUAGUGGUGGAACACAGCCAUGGGACAGUUAUAAAGAUGAGUUCUAAUAAACAGCUGAGGAAAGCAUGGAAGGAAGUUUUUGAAUAAAUCUUUUGCUUGCAAUUAUCUAUUAUAAGUCUCAAGCUAUUCUGCAAUAAGUGUCCUUUAAUUAUAACUUUAGAAGCUUGCUUUGUAUUAAAGAAUUUUAAACUGUAGUUUUAGAGUGCAAAAAGGUUUUUUAGACAAAAGAAGGAAAUAAGGAGGGGGCUCAGGCCUCACACAAGGUGGGAAAACAUCCUGGACAUGAAGAUAUGACUUCAGCUCACUGAUUUAUAGCUCCUGGAGAGGGAAACUGGACAUCAGCAUUGGAGAUUGAUGGACUUGAAAAUAGAGAUGGGACCCCACAUCUGGAAGCCAGAUCCCACCACCUGGAAAAACAUAUCCUGGAAGUACAUCCUGGAGUAUUGAAAUAUCAGAAUAGAUCACAAUGGUCUAUAGAAUUAUACAGGACAAUCUAUAGAUUUAUGGCUGUUAGGUAUUGAAUUGUGACGUUAAAACUAGAAAUGGAAACUGCUGAGAAAGCUUAUGAAUAUGUAUAAAAUACCAUCAAAUCCAGCAAUAGGUGUGCAGUUGGAAGGGAAAACCCCUACCACUGUACCCAGCGCUGCCUCUUUGCUCACACUUUACCAUGUUAAUUAAUUAAUUAUUAAA